rnacentral:lncRNA from 1 species
AGGGGUGGAAACGAGCCGAGCUCGAGCGAGCUUAUGUCAGCUCAAAUUCGGCUUGAAAUUAAUUUCGAGCCUAAAUCUAGGCUCAAGCUCGGCUUGAAAUUAAUUCGAGCCGAGCUCGAGUGAGCCUAAUUUCGAGUCAAGCCGAGCUCGAGCUCUAAAUGAGCCGAUUGAAAUUCUAGACAUUAUAUAAUCAAUAGUUUAAUUUUUAUAGAAUAUUACCUAUAAUUUGAUGCAACAUGUUCAAUAGUUCAAAAUACAAAAUAAUUGUAAGAAAUGUGAGCUAGGGUGACUGUCUAACUGGGUGAGGGUCAGAGUGAUAGAGAGAGAGAGAGAGAGAGAGGGGAAAAAAAAUUAGGGAUUUGAAAAUUUGAAUGUUAUCAUGUUUUAGGAUUACGUGCAACAGUAAAAGUCUGAAAGAGAGAGUGUGUUAUGUAAUUUAGAAUUGGGCUCAAUUACACGGUUGUACUUGUUGGGUUUAUUUUAUGGGCCAACAAUAAUGGCCCAAAUUAAAUUAAAGCCUAUAUAUUAUUAAAAUACAUUAUAUAUAUAUAUAUAUAUAUAUAUAUAUAUAUAUAUAUAUAUAUAUAUAUAUAUAUAUAUAUAUAUUUUUUUUCGAGCUUUUCGAGCUUAAUUCGAAUGAGCCGAGUAAUACUCAAGCUCGGCUUGAAAUGAAUUUCGAGUCUUUUAUUUUGUUCAAGCUCGGCUCAUUCAAUUUCG